GGAAAGGCGCGCGAUACAGGGUGACAGCCCCGUACACAAAAAUGCACAUGCUGUGAGCUCGAUGAGUAGGGCGGGACACGUGGUAUCCUGUCUGAAUAUGGGGGGACCAUCCUCCAAGGCUAAAUACUCCUGACUGACCGAUAGUGAACCAGUACCGUGAGGGAAAGGCGAAAAGAACCCCGGCGAGGGGAGUGAAAAAGAACCUGAAACCGUGUACGUACAAGCAGUGGGAGCACGCUUAGGCGUGUGACUGCGUACCUUUUGUAUAAUGGGUCAGCGACUUAUAUUCUGUAGCAAGGUUAACCGAAUAGGGGAGCCGAAGGGAAACCGAGUCUUAACUGGGCGUUAAGUUGCAGGGUAUAGACCCGAAACCCGGUGAUCUAGCCAUGGGCAGGUUGAAGGUUGGGUAACACUAACUGGAGGACCGAACCGACUAAUGUUGAAAAAUUAGCGGAUGACUUGUGGCUGGGGGUGAAAGGCCAAUCAAACCGGGAGAUAGCUGGUUCUCCCCGAAAGCUAUUUAGGUAGCGCCUCGUGAAUUCAUCUCCGGGGGUAGAGCACUGUUUCGGCAAGGGGGUCAUCCCGACUUACCAACCCGAUGCAAACUGCGAAUACCGGAGAAUGUUAUCACGGGAGACACACGGCGGGUGCUAACGUCCGUCGUGAAGAGGGAAACAACCCAGACCGCCAGCUAAGGUCCCAAAGUCAUGGUUAAGUGGGAAACGAUGUGGGAAGGCCCAGACAGCCAGGAUGUUGGCUUAGAAGCAGCCAUCAUUUAAAGAAAGCGUAAUAGCUCACUGGUCGAGUCGGCCUGCGCGGAAGAUGUAACGGGGCUAAACCAUGCACCGAAGCUGCGGCAGCGACGCUGAUGCGUUGUUGGGUAGGGGAGCGUUCUGUAAGCCUGCGAAGGUGUGCUGUGAGGCAUGCUGGAGGUAUCAGAAGUGCGAAUGCUGACAUAAGUAACGAUAAAGCGGGUGAAAAGCCCGCUCGCCGGAAGACCAAGGGUUCCUGUCCAACGUUAAUCGGGGCAGGGUGAGUCGACCCCUAAGGCGAGGCCGAAAGGCGUAGUCGAUGGGAAACAGGUUAAUAUUCCUGUACUUGGUGUUACUGCGAAGGGGGGACGGAGAAGGCUAUGUUGGCCGGGCGACGGUUGUCCCGGUUUAAGCGUGUAGGCUGGUUUUCCAGGCAAAUCCGGAAAAUCAAGGCUGAGGCGUGAUGACGAGGCAC
rnacentral:rRNA from 1 species